rnacentral:lncRNA from 1 species
GCUGUUUAUGACCGAUUAUACAUUAUAAAUGAUUAUAUUAUUUGUUUAUAAUGGUUAUAAUGCUAAUUAUAACAUGCCAGUUACAAUUGUUAUUUAGAACCGGCUAUAAUAAAUUAUAAUUUUAGAAAUAGGUCGAUUACGUCUUUUUGACAGAAUUUCGUAACUGUCUUGGGUCAGUUUGUAUUAACUGAAAAGUUAUUGGGUCACAGAUGACCAUAAUCGAAAGUUACAAAUUGAGCUAGUAAUUUACAAAACUUUGUGAACUGGAAUUUUGAAAAAAAGUGGAGGGCUAAAUUGAGUUUUCCACUUCAUCUUCUCCAAAGCAUCGCCUCCAGAGAUGGAUUUCAAUCGCAGAUUCCAAUCAUGGAACCGAUUUAUGUUUCUCCGGACGUUCUUCUUGUGGGAUGGUAGAUUCGGCUGGAUCUGGAAUUCGCCUCCAGGGGGUUUUUCACUUCCCAGCCGACAACGACGAGUACCGCCAUCACCACCACCGGCAGGCGAUACCGAGAUUUAGGUUGACGACGCACCAGUGCUGGUCGAGAGUCUCUACCAGGAUCUUGUCGGAGGAAGGUCUUCAGCGUCGCUGGUCGUCGAAGUGCGGAGGAGUUAAGGCUGCGGAGAAAAAGCUUCUGCUACGGAGAAGACAAUGAACUGGGGAUAUUAAAAAUAAUAUUUUCUCAAAAUACCGAAAAUACCCCUCCGUGUUUGGUGACCGGUUGAACUUGGUUGAACUAAAAACAGUUGGCUCUCUUUAAUGAAGUAUUUGAAAUAAUUUGAAUUAGAG